AAAAAACAAGAUGAAAGUAGUGGAAAGAAUAGCGUAAUGCAAAUAGAGUGUUGAAACUUUACAAAAGAAGGAGUCUGCAGAUACUUACUGUGAUGUCUCCAAGAAGAAGCUACUGGUUGUGCGACUAAUACGUAGAGAAGAUGAAGAGCCCAAGACCUAGCCCGCUCUGAUACUAUCUAGCUCUCACCACCCGGACAGACUCACUAAAAUCUGUACUUACAAACUCAGCUACCCGACUUCACUGUUCCCCUAUUCCAAAAUCCGAGAUCCCCACA
rnacentral:lncRNA from 1 species